GCUCGGGGAGGGCCGUGGGGAGCCGCCGGUUCGGGGCGGCGGGGGCCGGGGGGUGGGUGGGUGCGAGGGGCCGGCGGGGGCUCUCAUACACCGUCCGGGCCUUCACCCGCUGCGUGGUUGCGGGUAACAACGAGGCUAGGUCUGGUGUUUCGUGCAAACUUCAUCACCCCUGCGCCUGGGGUGCUCCAGCUUCCAGAUUUUUCUCUGCUCACCAGUCCUGUUUUUUUAUUCGUUUUUCAGCGCCGGCUGACAUUGCGGCCCGUACGCGUGUUUCCGGGCCCAGGGCUGUCGGCGCCGCGGAGGGGGCUGCUGGGCAGUAAGGAGCUUGCGGAAAUCCUUGGGCUCUUAGCUGCCAUCGCAGCUGUCGCGUUGGAAGGGUUUGCGUUUGAGGUGGGCAGGAGCUGCUAUUUCUGGCGUCGGGGAACUCACGGAGCAGCGAUGGGGAUGUCGUUAGCUCUGGUGAUUGGCAGGAGCUGACGAGCUCUUGUUUGAAGCUGUGGGUGAAGACAAAAGGGGUGUUUCCAAGCUGCUGGGAAGGCAGUGCAGCAUGGGGGGAUCCGAGCUGGGCCCCAUCUGGAUAAUCGGUGCAAAACCAGGGAACUUAGUGCCCAGGAGAGGAGCAAGUGCUGAAUGCUGGAGGUCAGCCUGCCCUGACCGACACUGCGCAGUGCUUCGCUCUAAUCUAACCUCUGUGGUUUUGCACCGCAGGCCUUUAGGAAGAGAAGAUCCUGGGGUUCUUCUGCUUUACUUCCCCCGUCCAAGCUCAGCUGAAAACUAAAUGCUUUAAGAGAGAAGCUAAAAUUGUCAGAGACAAGUCAUGCCAUCUGGUGACCUUAAUUUCCAUCAGUGAGCAGGGCACCGUGAGGCUGGGAAAGGAGCUCAAAGGUGACACAGUCAAAGUCAGGCCCACGUAAAAGGACACUUCUGGGUUUGAUCCAUUCCCACACUGCACAGGCUGAUGCAGGUGUCCAAAGAGCAUUUGUAAAAAGCGAAAUGAUCUCUGCUUGGACCGCAUCGAAUACGGAGCUUUCCCUGGGAAGGCAGGGCUUGGGAUGGCAAGGCCUUACUUCAAUGACCCAAAGAGAGCCAAGGUUUUCGAUUUGAAGAAUGAACUGCCCCAAAGCAAACUCAUCCCAGUUGGUGACGUCAGUCACUGGCGAGCAAGAGGAAUAGUAAGCUGUCCCUAAAACAUGAUGCAAAGGCUGAUGUGUCCAAGGAACCUUUCACUCGUUGACUGAGUGAGGGCACAAGCCAGGAAGGUAGGAGCAAGUUUGGACUUUGGGGGACCUCCCUGGAGGGCCUUGCUCCUGUAAGAUGAGGGAAGAGAGCUGAAUCAGUAAAUGGGUAUUCUUCCCUGGGAGAAUUCAAGCUCUAUAUAGCCUUUGAGUUCAUGGUUCAAGAGGUCCAUCCCUGUUUCUAAUCAUGUGUGCUUUUCUGAAGGGGUAUUUAAACCGGUAUUAAAUUAAAAUGCCAGAUUAGAGCUGGUGGAAAUGCACUUGGGUAAAUGUCCUCUUUCCAAUUCAGCAUAAAACUGAAUUCUUGACAAGCUGUGUCCCUUAUCACUCCCAGUGGUGUGAUCUGAAUAGGGACACAGUUUUUUCCAGUUUCUGAAAUUAGGCAUCAUUUCCUGCUAUAGAGUGGUUUUUUUCAUCCAUUUGAAUUUGAUACAACACUGUUCUCUUUCUGUCCUGAAUCACUGGUGUGUGCUAUUAAACAGGUGUUGCUUUCUAUUAGACCAGUUUCUGUGUUAAGCAGAGUGGUCGUUUAAUACUCUCUUCUUACCUCUGAAUGGAGUAGGGCAGUUUUACGUGGUAUUUUCAAAGCACAUUGAAAAAUUCAGAUAGAAGGUAGGAUAAAGGGACAGAAGGCACUUAUUUUCUCCUCCUUUAAUCACUGAAAUUCUCACUUAAGAAAAAUCAAGGGACUGUGAAUCACACAGUCAUUGGGAACAUAUUUAUAUGGCCACUAAUAUUUUUGGAUGCAGAAAAAAUGCCCUCAGCACUUUGCUGAAAAAACUGCUGAUAUAUUGCAGCUGUUCCUUUGUUAAACCAAAUACUGUUACUUGCAUCAGUCAUUUUUUGAUGUGUGGCUUUCAAGAAAGACCAAAACAAAAAUAGCAUUUGAAUUGCAAGCUUAGAAAUUGUGUGGUUUUAUACAGACUUCAGAGCUGACAAAGGAACUUUUUUUUUUCAUGUGGCAAAUAUUUGUAGUCCAAAUGCAUAAAAUGUAUGUUAUGUAAAUAAUGUAGCGAUAUAGUUUGCUAUAUUCUCUGUGCUUUCUACAAAGGAGCCUGAAGCAUUUUCUUGACCUAAAUCAUACACGAAAAUCAAAGACAUAACUCUCCUGCUGUUCCCAAAAGUACAAGGAGCUGCAAAGAAAGCCUCAGCUUUGAGAAUACUGGUGUUCCUUUUUAUUGAAGAAGAGAAUAAAGCAUUUUUAAAUAUA